rnacentral:rRNA from 1 species
UGGGGAAUAUUGGACAAUGGGCGCAAGCCUGAUCCAGCAAUGCCGCGUGUGUGAAGAAGGCCUUCGGGUUGUAAAGCACUUUUAUCAGGAGCGAAACGCUGUCGGCUAAUACCCGGCGGAACUGACGGUACCUGAGGAAUAGGCACCGGCUAACUUCGUGCCAGCAGCCGCGGUAAUACGAAGGGUGCAAGCGUUAAUCGGAAUUACUGGGCGUAAAGCGUGCGUAGGCGGUUUCUUAAGUCUGCUGUGAAAUCCCCGGGCUCAACCUGGGAAUGGCAGUGGAUACUGGGAGGCUAGAGUGUGUCAGAGGGUGGUGGAAUUCCCGGUGUAGCGGUGAAAUGCGUAGAGAUCGGGAGGAACAUCAGUGGCGAAGGCGGCCACCUGGGACAACACUGACGCUGAGGCACGAAAGCGUGGGGAGCAAACAGGAUUAGAUACCCUGGUAGUCCACGCCCUAAAGCGAUGCGAACUGGAUGUUGGUCUCAACUCGGAGAUCAGUGUCGAAGCUAACGCGUUAAGUUCGCCGCCUGGGGAGUACGGUCGCAAGACUGAAACUCAAAGGAAUUGAC